AUGUUUUUUUUUUCAAUUUGCCUAUCUCUAAUCCUCUGGGGGUUUCACUGUGGUUUUUCAAACAUUAUUGAAAGUGUUUCACCAAUAAUUUAUACUAAUAUUUUCUUUCCCUGGGAUAUAGAAUUCAAUGGCACACAACUAGCUGCUUGCUUACCAUCUCCUAGAAAAUGUCAGGAUCCCCUACUCUAUAGAGACUCAGGAUGGUUUGGAAUCCCCGAAGAGCUCCUCCAGCCCUUUAACCUCAGUGACUCAAGAGCACAGAGGAAAGAGAACAAAAAAGAAAAUCUUAAACUUAUCAACAUUUCAAAGCUGGCAGUUAAAGGUGACUGAAUCAAACAGUGAUAUUUGGCCUAUUGACCAAGCUCCUCACCAAAACUAAUAGCAGAAAUUCCAUUCUCCAAAAGGUCAAGAUCAAAAUCCAUCUCCUGCAUGAAGCCGUCCUGGGUUCCUCCGAACAGGAAUGAUCUUUUUCUCCAUUGAACGACUUUAAAGAUCCUCUAUGCCACUCAUCACAAAGUUCCUUAGAGUAUAGUAAUAAAUUGCUUAUGUUGUUGAAUUGCACUUUUCUUUUCUUUUUUAAUCAAUAUU